CAGUAGCCGCGGUAAUACGGAGGGUGCAAGCGUUAUCCGGAUUCACUGGGUUUAAAGGGUGCGUAGGCGGGCAGGUAAGUCAGUGGUGAAAUCUUCGAGCUUAACUCGGAAACUGCCGUUGAUACUAUCUGUCUUGAAUAACGUUGAGGUGAGCGGAAUAUGUCAUGUAGCGGUGAAAUGCUUAGAUAUGACAUAGAACACCGAUUGCGAAGGCAGCUCACUAAACGCUCAUUGACGCUGAGGCACGAAAGCGUGGGGAUCAAACAGGAUUAGAUACCCCGGUAGUCCCUGUCUCUUAUAA
rnacentral:rRNA from 1 species